rnacentral:rRNA from 1 species
GACGAACGCUGGCGGCGUGCUUAACACAUGCAAGUCGAACGGAAAGGCCCUGCUUUUGUGGGGUGCUCGAGUGGCGAACGGGUGAUUAACACGUGAUUAACCUGCCCUUGACUUUGGGAUAACUUCAGGAAACUGGGGCUAAUACCGGAUAGGAGCUCCUGCUGCAUGGUGGGGGUGGGAAAGUUUCGGCGGUUGGGGAUGGACUCGCGGCUUAUCAGCUUGUUGGUGGGGUAGUGGCUUACCAAGGCUUUGACGGGUAGCCGGCCUGAGAGGGUGACCGGCCACAUUGGGACUGAGAUACGGCCCAGACUCCUACGGGAGGCAGCAGUGGGGAAUAUUGCACAAUGGGCGGAAGCCUGAUGCAGCAACGCCGCGUGCGGGAUGACGGCCUUCGGGUUGUAAACCGCUUUCGCCUGUGACGAAGCGUGAGUGACGGUAAUGGGUAAAGAAGCACCGGCUAACUACGUG